CAAAUGAAUUGACGGGGGCCCGCACAAGCGGUGGAGCAUGUGGUUUAAUUCGAUGCAACGCGAAGAACCUUACCUGGUCUUGACAUCCACAGAACUUUCCAGAGAUGGAUUGGUGCCUUCGGGAACUGUGAGACAGGUGCUGCAUGGCUGUCGUCAGCUCGUGUUGUGAAAUGUUGGGUUAAGUCCCGCAACGAGCGCAACCCUUAUCCUUUGUUGCCAGCGGUCCGGCCGGGAACUCAAAGGAGACUGCCAGUGAUAAACUGGAGGAAGGUGGGGAUGACGUCAAGUCAUCAUGGCCCUUACGACCAGGGCUACACACGUGCUACAAUGGCGCAUACAAAGAGAAGCGACCUCGCGAGAGCAAGCGGACCUCAUAAAGUGCGUCGUAGUCCGGAUUGGAGUCUGCAACUCGACUCCAUGAAGUCGGAAUCGCUAGUAAUCGUGGAUCAGAAUGCCACGGUGAAUACGUUCCCGGGCCUUGUACACACCGCCCGUCACACCAUGGGAGUGGGUUGCAAAAGAAGUAGGUAGCUUAACCUUCGGGGGGGCGCUUACCACUUUGUGAUUCAUGACUGGGGUGAAGUCGUAACAAGGUAACCGUAGGGGAACCUGCGGUUGGAUCACCUCCUUACCUUAAAGAAGC
rnacentral:rRNA from 3 species